GGGAAAGAUCUUCAGAGGGGUGUAAAUUAAAUUAAUUCAUCCCAAUGGCUCAACGAAUGAGAUGCUGUCCUAUUUUUAAAAUACUUUUCUUGAAUGGCUUGGCAGGCUAUGGUGCUGGGGACAGAGAUAUACCAAGAGCUAUAAUCAGCACCCAGAAUUGGAGCCAUUCAAGUUAAUGCCACCUCGUGGUGAAGUGACAUGUUGCUUUAAAAGACAGAAGAUGGGUGGAUGAAUGGAUAAAGAAGUUGUGGUAUAGGUUGUUUUGAAAGCAUAGCAGUGGUUUAGCACAGAGCCUCUGGGACCAGACUCCUGGGUUAGGAUCCUGAUUCCACCAUCUACUGGUUGCGUGACCUUAGGCAAG